rnacentral:rRNA from 1 species
CCUACGGGUGACAGCAGUGAGGAAUAUUGGUCAAUGGACGAGAGUCUGAACCAGCCAAGUAGCGUGAAGGAUGACUGCCCUAUGGGUUGUAAACUUCUUUUAUAUGGGAAUAAAAUGUUCCACGUGUGGGAUUUUGUAUGUACCAUAUGAAUAAGGAUCGGCUAACUCCGUGCCAGCAGCCGCGGUAAUACGGAGGAUCCGAGCGUUAUCCGGAUUUAUUGGGUUUAAAGGGAGCGUAGGUGGAUUGUUAAGUCAGUUGUGAAAGUUUGCGGCUCAACCGUAAAAUUGCAGUUGAAACUGGCAGUCUUGAGUACAGUAGAGGUGAGCGGAAUUCGUGGUGUAGCGGUGAAAUGCUUAGAUAUCACGAAGAACUCCGAUUGCGAAGGCAGUUCACUGGACUGCAACUGACACUGAGGCUCGAAAGUGUGGAUAUCAAACAGGAUUAGAUACCCCUGUAGUC